UACGUAGGGUGCGAGCGUUAAUCGGAAUUACUGGGCGUAAAGCGUGCGCAGGCGGUUUUGUAAGCCAGAUGUGAAAUCCCCGGGCUUAACCUGGGAAUGGCAUUUGGGACUGCAAGGCGUGAGUGCGGCAGAGGAGACUGGAAUUCCUGGUGUAGCAGUGAAAUGCGUAGAUAUCAGGAGGAACACCGAUGGCGAAGGCGGCAUCCUGGACCGACAUUGACGCUGAGGCGCGAAAGCCAGGGGAGCAAACGGG
rnacentral:rRNA from 1 species